CAGUAGCCACGGGAAUACGUAGGUGGCGAGCGUUGUCCGGAAUCAUUGGGCGUAAAGCGCGCGCAGGUGGUUUAAUAAGUCUGAUGUGAAAGCCCACGGCUCAACCGUGGAGGGUCAUUGGAAACUGUUAAACUUGAGUGCAGGAGAGAAAAGUGGAAUUCCUAGUGUAGCGGUGAAAUGCGUAGAGAUUAGGAGGAACACCAGUGGCGAAGGCGGCUUUUUGGCCUGUAACUGACACUGAGGCGCGAAAGCGUGGGGAGCAAACAGGAUUAGAUACCCCCGUAGUCCCUGUCUCUUAUAC
rnacentral:rRNA from 1 species